rnacentral:lncRNA from 1 species
UGAACAGGCAGGGACUCCACCCUGCACUCAGAGGCUGAGGCUCCAACAGAGCUUGGGAUGGCUAUCCGUGAGGUCCCCUUGAGGAGCAAGACCCCUGACCAGCUUUCCUCGGCCACCUAGGUUGCAACAGGAGCCACACAUUGAGGGGUCUGGCCAGGCUGCUGAGCAGGAAGCUGACUGAAGCAGGAGACCCUGCCUGCCUUGGCUGCCCCCCAGAGCCCAGUCCACCAGACCCAGAACACCUCAGAGACACUGGGCCCCAAGGAAGGAGGAGGUGUGGAAUGUCAUCGAGGAAAUAACGCAGUCACCAAAGCCUUGCUUUGGUUGGGAAGGACUGGGGCUGGAAGAAAGGCCCCGUGAGCACCCCCAGAGUCUCUGCUUGAGUAGUGCCCACCCAGGCCACGAGGGCUUCUCCUUGGUGACAGAAUACACAGCAGCAUAGCCUGUACUCAGUCCUAGUGUACUGGUCGUGGAGUCCCAGGCUCUCAGCCUCCUGUAACCAGCACACAGCAGUAGGAGCAGCCCCUGUCACAACAGACAGGAGACUGAGGCGAA